rnacentral:misc_RNA from 1 species
UACGUAGGGGGCGAGCGUUGUCCGGAAUUAUUGGGCGUAAAGAGCGUGUAGGCGGUUCGGUAAGUCUGCUGUGAAAACCCAGGGCUCAACCCUGGGCGUGCAGUGGAUACUGCCGGGCUAGAGGGUGGUAGAGGCGAGUGGAAUUCCCAGUGUAGCGGUGAAAUGCGCAGAUAUUGGGAGGAACACCAGUAGCGAAGGCGGCUCGCUGGGCCAUACCUGACGCUGAGACGCGAAAGCUAGGGGAGCGAACAGG